CUUGAAUUCUCCUCUGAGCAGUUUUAUGGGUUAGGGGUGUAAUUCCUGUACUCCGCUCCAGGCCUCAGUAUGAAAUCCUGUGAGAUUUUGUGGGAUUUGAGUUUUUGACAGAAGGACGAGGCUGAUUGUUUGGUCUGGGAGAGCAUGUGGUGGAAGGGUUAGGCUGGCUGCUGCAGGUGGGCUUUAAAUCAGUUCAAAUCACUUGUUUUUCAUUUUUAUUAUGAUGUGCUUAGAUGUGCCUCUGAUCCAGAACAGCUCAUUCACAUGGCUGCAGCCAUCAGUCCUGCAGGCUGUUAAUCACCACAGAUUGAAUCCAGGUGGCAGAAGAACCACUGAUCUGCAGUUUGACCCAAAGCUGACUGACUGCAGGGAAACGGUCAGGAAGUGGCUUCAUUAGGCGCCACAGCGGGAGGAGGAAGGCACCAAGGAGCCA